GAUGAAGAACGCAGCAAAAUGCGAUAAGUAAUGUGAAUUGCAGAAUUCAGUGAAUCAUCGAAUCUUUGAACGCACAUUGCGCCCGCCAGUAUUCUGGCGGGCAUGCCUGUUCGAGCGUCAUUUCAACCCUCAAGCCCUCGGGUUUGGUGUUGGGGAUCGGCGAGCCUUUCUGGCAAGCCGGCCCCGAAAUCUAGUGGCGGUCUCGCUGCAGCCUCCAUUGCGUAGUAGUAAAACCCUCGCAACUGGAACGCGGCGCGGCCAAGCCGUUAAACCCCAAACUUCUGAAUGUUGACCUCGGAUCAGGUAGGAAUACCCGCUGAACUUAAGCAUAUCAAUAAGCGGAGGA
rnacentral:misc_RNA from 1 species